rnacentral:rRNA from 1 species
CCUACGGGAGGCAGCAGUGGGGAAUAUUGCACAAUGGGGGAAACCCUGAUGCAGCGACGCCGCGUGAGUGAAGAAGGAAUUCGUUAUGUAAAGCUCUAUCAGCAGGGAAGAAAAUGAAGGUACCUGAGUAAAAAGCCCCGGCUAACUACGUGCCAGCAGCCGCGGUAAUACGUAGGGGGCAAGCGUUAUCCGGAUUGAAUGGGUGUAAAGGGAGCGGAGACGGCAGUGCAAGUCUGGAGUGAAAGCCGGGGGCUCAACCUGCGGUCUGCUCUGGAAACUGUACGGCUGGAGUGCAGGAGAGGAGAGUGGAAUUCCUAGUGUAGCGGUGAAAUGCGUAGAUAUUAGGAGGAACACCAGUGGCGAAGGCGGCUUACUGGACUGUAACUGACGUUGAGGCUCGAAAGCGUGGGGAGCAAACAGGAUUAGAUACCCGGGUAGUC